UGUGCGGACAAUUUUACCUGCAAGGAAGAGACCCAGGACAAGCAUGGAAAAGCUGUACCGUCUUGAACAGCAAUGGCCACUCAGAAGCUCUCUGUGCUGCAACCGAAGGCUGGGACAGUUGAGAGCUACAGAGAAAAUGCCCAGGAAAUGUCAUACUCUGGGACUUUAGUCUGAGCCUCAGGAUAAAAAAUAAUUCCAUUUACGUGUCUCAGUUUAUUUUUUAGAAAUGAUCUAAUAUUUAAUAUGUAAACAUCUCCAAGAAAUGGCAGCUGCUGGGAAAUGAAAAUUCCAUAAUCAUUACUGUCAGUAUUUCAAAGUCUCUUAUGGAAAUUGCUAUAUUCUGUUUCCAUAUAGUUUCACAUUGUGCUAAUUUUGUUUAUUUUAAUGUGCUAGAAAUAACUUUAAAUUUGUGUCUAAAAAAUAACUAACACGGCUUCCACCCUCUGGAAUUUAUAUGCAUCCAACUCCCAAAGAAUAUGCCUUAAUUUCCAACUAUUUAAGUCACAGAGGGCUAACUCCAGAAGAUCUACUGAAAAGUAUUAAAUAGAAGUUUCGCCACGUUGGGCAGGCCAGUCUCGACUCCUGACCUCAGGUGAUCCACCCACUUCAGCCUCCCAGAGUGCUGGGAUUACAGGUGUGAGCCACCGGGCCCGGCCAAGUUUAACUUUUUAGCAUCAGGUUCUUUGCAGCUGCUGGGCCAGAUAUAAAAUGCUAGUGAAAACACACAUCCCUUUUUAUCUCUUAAGCUAUUACUGUGAGUCUUAUGACUACAUUUGAAUCAGUGUUACCAAUCAAACGAAGUUGAAAAAAUCAAUUUGUGUAGAUGUGUACAUCUCACUACUGUACCUUGCUGACCUCCAGAUAUUCACGUGCCUACUGCAUAUUAAUCUGCAUCCUGGACCAUUUGCAACAAGUAGAUCCCCACACAUUUAUGUGGGGCCAAUUUUAUUCUUCCGGUAUUUAUUCUUCAAAUUCAAUUUGAAUUCAUCCUUGCAAAAAUGUUUAUUGAGGCCCUACUGUGUGCCAGAAGGUACAUAUACUACAUGUUGGGAAGCCACGUUUACUCAUGACUCAGUCAGGACACAAGCUUCGGAUAUGGGCUACGCAUGUGGAAAUGCACUGCGUUUACUCAUGGUUCCGUUUCAAAGAUAGCUCCCUUCACAAAUUAGUUUGCACUUGCCAUACCUUUGUCUAUAAAUCAUUUGUGUUGCCCCAACUUCUGGUCUCACAGAUGCUUGCAUUAAAAUUGAUCAUUACUAUUGCUUUUCCCAUAAAUAUCGUUGUUUACAUUUUAUUGCCACUUGAAUUUCUUCUCCUAAACAUCAAGACAUCUUUCGCUAUCCACCACAUCUACUUCUUCCUUUGCUAUCAGAAAACAACUGGUAACCAGUUGGAAAGCUGAAGCACCACUCCGAGCCUGGCCAACGGUUCUAGUCCCUCUCAUGUGAAUGUGCAUGUGUAAUGAGAGGUGACACACACGUGUGUACUGUGUAUGUGUGUACAUAUACGUCACUAGGAAUGUCAACAUGUCCUCGUCUUUCUCUAACUCCUGCAGUUUCUGACUCCCUUUCCCGUACUGCAUAACACAUCAUCUCAAAUUCUUCAUGUGUCCCUAGCGAAUGCGAUCUUGAUGGUGCUUUCUACCUCCUGAGAUACAUCUCAAAGAAAGGAAAAAGCUCAUUAUUCCCAAGGUGGAGAUGAAGAAUAAUAUGCAAGAGCCUAUAAAGCAGGACUUUGCUGAAAGACAUUCGCACCCAGUAAAAUGUGGCACAUGCAAGAGCAUCAGCUCAGGGUCUGCCUAGACACAGGCCAUUGAGAAAGUUCUGCUGUACUAUUCCAUGUAUAUGUAAAGGUACAAAUAUCUAAGAGGUCUCCUUGAAAGCCAAAACUGGAGACCAGAAAUAAGCCAGUAAGUAGAUUUUAAAAGCUACUCUGAGUUAUCCAUCACAUAUGUAGCCUGUUUUCCUUACAAAAACCAGGCCGAGCAUACAGGUUGCACUGACUGUCAAAAGAAUAGGUCUCUCCUCCUCCAAACAUUUGAUUAUUAUAAGUCAACCAAAUUCAAAAGAUAAAACUUCCAUUGCUUAUAUGAGAAAUCUCUUUCUAAGACGUAUUACUGUCUGAUGAUUUCAAUCGUAUUUCAUCUCUAACCUGUACGACAUAGGGCACGUUGCCUAUGUGAAAAGAGAGACUGCCUUCAUAUCAGACAGACAAGCAUUUAGAAUCCUCUCCAAUCCAUAAGCAACAACAGUUACCCAUUAGGGAAAAAAAAAGAA
rnacentral:lncRNA from 1 species